AAAAAAAAAAAAGAAAGAAAGAAAGAAAAGGAAGAAAAAAAGAAAGAAAAGAAACAAACAACCCUAAAACUAUUGUACAUACUUUAAAGCAAUAAUACAGAAUCUAUGUUUCCCAUUAAAAACAAUUUUAUUAACAAACUCUGGCUGCAAAGAUGGCUAAGCAAGUAAAAGCACUUGCUGCCAAGUCUGAGGACCUGAGUUCAAUCCUUGGGACCCACAUAGUGGAAAAAGAAAACCAACUCCUGCAAGUUGUCUUCUGACCUACAUAUGCCCAUGCUGCUCUGGCCUUUCUCUCUCUCCUGCCCCCUCUCUCUCUUACACACACACACACACACACAAAUAACUAAAACUUUUCUUAAAUGAAUAAACUCAAAUGACCUUUUUGUUAUGUGAGACAUAAGCUUUAAUUCAAUCCCAUUAUUCAUUUCUUCCCAAAUAUAUCAACCAACUAGAAGUAUUAAUUCCAUUAUUCAGUGUGCAUCCCAUCAUACCUUACUAUUUACAACAGAGUCUACAAAUAGCCUGUUAGAACCCUGAGUGUGCAGCAGCACAGCCCUGCCUGGCGACUGUAUGCAGCAACGGCAGCAGUUCAACCUGAUAUGUGUUGGGCUCAGAUUAGAGAGAUCAAGGGGAAUUUGACAGCAAGUUGGUUUCACAUGGGACUGGCUAAUGAUCAGCCCAGUGUCAUUUGGAAAUAAUUUGGGGAAUUAUGACAGAGAUGCUAAUAUACUACGUAACAAUAAGUCUUUAUUUCAUCCGACCAAGCUCUGUCACCACGUGGGUGCUUUCUGCCAGGCUGCCCGAGUUCUGCCCACCGCCACAUUAAGGUCCCAAGUAACACACAUAUUAGGUACAAAUGCUGCUUGGCCAAUGACUAGGAUUUCUCAUUUGCUAGCUCAGUCUUAAUUAUCAAAUCUAUAGAUUUUAUAAGACUUAUCUUAUAAAGGAUGCCUUCCACUGGCACCCUCUCUUGCCAGUGGAUCAUAUUGUGACUCCAGAGCAGAGACCAGAAGGAAGAGAGAAGGGACGACUUCUUUCUUGCCCUUGCUUAUAUAUGAGUCUCCCUGCUAUGAGUCACUUCCUGCCUGGAUCUUUUACUACAUUUCCCAGAAUCCUCCUUGACUUCUAGUCCCACCUAUCUUGCUUCCUCAAAUAAAGGCCAAGUAGUACUUUAUUUAUUAACCAAUAAAAGAGACAUAUGCAGAAAGACGUCCCCCAUCAACACUAUAUUUAUAUGAAGCUGCAAUGCUGUAUCAGGUGGUUCAGGGAUCCAGUAUGGAUCACUUAAAUACAAUUUUGAGGGAAUCUCACAUAUCUGCUUACAAUGAUGGAUUUCUAAAGACAUUCAGUGAUUCUGUCUCCUGAAAAUUAUGAGAUGUUAAGAACUGAAAAACAAACAAACAAACCUUUAGAGAUAGCACACAAUUUUUUUUCACACAAAGGCAAAGAGACCAGUAAAGCUCUUUACAUCACUAGUAAGUGGCAACAUCAGGGCCUGAGCUAAGCCUGUGAGAUGCACUCCAGGGCACCACUCACAUCACAGGAUCAUGUUUAUUAUGAACUCUUCAGGGUAGUCUGGCAAUCUGUAGACACGAGGAAGAGCAGAUACUGCCAUCUCGAGCCGGAAGACAUCUUCCUCUUCAAAGCAUCUCAUACUUUCUAUUGAGAUGCCUCCGAGUGCUUGUGCCCACUCACGUAGCAAAGGGCAACCUGAUCUCCCCCAAAUCUACUGAUUUCAAUGCUAGUCACACCUUUAAAAAAUACCUCACAGCCCUAUCUAUGUGUGCUUGACCAAAUAAAUAGGCACAUGGCCUACCAGACACAAAAUUAGCUAUCAUUAACCCUUCCUCAAUCCACACAGAAAAACAAAGAAUUUAUAUGUCAGAUUUUCAUUUGGGCUCAUUCCAUGCUUUGACACAUGUUGUUAAAGGCUUCAACUCCCACUUAACACUAGAUUUCAUAAGACAUGAAUAUCAUCUCACUCAACAUUUGUUGGAUCAUAAGAAAUUGGAUUUGUAGUUCCUUCUGGUCUGCAAAAUAUGGUUCAUGAGUAUAUCUUGUAUAAUCUUCACAAGUCACUUUAGUAGCACAAAUUUGAGCAGAAACAAGGCUAAGACUGUCACAUUAACAGGUAAUAAUCAAGAAGGAUCAGAUCCCCUGCCUCAGUGCCAUUGCUCAUCAAGGGCUAGGACAAGAAGUACCAGGUACUCAAAGACAGCAGAGGUCUUGUCAUUUCUAAAUCAAUCUACACCUGCAUGCAAGUUCAGAAUUAAUCACUGUCCACAAGUAGUGUUUAGGGCUUUUCAAAACUGUUUACUCAAUACUAAGUUUACACCUCAGAGAAUUUUCAUAAAAUUUCAUAAAAUUGUUACCAACAUGAAGAUAUGGGACAUGAUGGGGGUUGUCCUUCUGUAUGUAUGUUUCUCUUAUUGGUUGAUGACUAAAACACUGAUUGGCCAGUAGCCAGACAGGAAGCAUAGGCAGGGCUACCAGACCAGAAGAAGGCUAGGGAGAGGAAGGCAGAUGGGAGCCACCAGAGAGACGCCAUGUAGACACAGAAGAGUAACAUGCCAGGGUAUUACUGGGUAAGUCAAGAGCACAUGGAAAUUAAUUAGAUUAAUAAAUUAAAUUAAUCAGAUUAAUAGAAAUGGGUUAAUAAAUAAGAGACAGCUAGCCAGUAAGAAGCCCUAGGCAUCAGCCAAACAGUUUAUAAAUUAAUACAAGUCUUUGUGAGUUUAUUUGGGGCUAAUCGGCUGCGGGACCAGGCAGAACAGAAACUUUCAUCUACAGGGACAUGAUGGUCACCUCAGAAGCCCCUGCACCAAUGCCCACACCCUAGUCACCAUCUUUCAUAUAAAGUGAACUGAAGUCUACUCAGAUCUUCCCAACUCUGUAAAAAUGAAAUUCUCCUGCAUGUAGGUUUUUGGAUGUGGCAUCCUGAGUGGCAGAUUAUAUUUAUGAGAUUAAUUUAUUUGUUUGUUCAGUUCUGUUAUGUUGUAUAGCAGCCAACAGUAUAAAUUAAACACUGUUUAUUUAUUUGAUUAUCCAGUCAGCAAUUUGAAUGUUUUCCAGUUGGGGAGUUCUGAGAGUUGCUUCCAACAACCUCCCAUACAUAUUAUGGUUUUCCUAUGCAUGUGUCCUGUUCAGUGCCCAGACAUGAACUACUGGGUCAUACAUGUGCACACAUUCAGCUUUACUGGAAACUGCCAAAUAGCUUCCAAACAUGACUGUACCAAUUUGCACAACCUCAGUCAUUGGUGAGAUCUUUUGUUCUAGUUAAUGUCUCUGUGCAAUGUUAUACUUUACAUAAGUCAAUCUACAACACUAUAAAGUCUGCUUUCAAAACUUCAUAGGAAUUUUGCCAUGCUGAAGAUUUUUUGAGAUUUAUAACUGUUCAGAUAUAUAGUUUUAAUUUGUCUUUCACCACUAUACAACAUUCCAAUGUCUGAAAUCUGAAUCCUAUUGAUAAUCAUUGAGGUGACAUCUAUUUUUUCUCUAUUAUAGACAAUGACUAUAACUACUCUUUGGCCCAUGUGUGAGAAUUUCUCAGUAAUAUAAAUAGUAUACCUUCAGUUAUAUUAGAGAACUUCAAAUUGUUUUCUUUUGGGGUGGAGUUGGAAAAGAGUCUUUAUAUAUUGCCCUGGCUUGCCUCAAAUUUGUGAUCCUUCCCCUCAGCCUCCAGAAUAUGUGGGAUUAUAGUGUGUGUCAAAAAACACUGCUCAAAAAUUGCUUUCUGACAUGACUGCACUGACUUCCUUUACUACAGAUGGGCCCUGAGGAUGUCUGUUACUCCUGAGCCUUGCCAACAACUGGUAUAGUUAUGUUUUCCUACUGUUAAUCAGAUGAAUAUGUAAUGCUGUUUUUUGUUUUGUUUUUGAUUGUUUGUUUGUUUGUUUUUGAGACAGGGUUUCUCUGUGUAGCCCUGGCUGUCUUGGAACUCACUCUGUAGACGAGGCUGACCUCAAACUCAUAGGGAUUUGCCUGCCUCUGCCUCCCGAGUGCUGGGGUUAAAUGUGUAUGCCACCAUCACCUGGAAAGUAUAUAAUACUCUUAAUAACUAUUAUGAAUGUUUUCCAAAUACUUAAAUUUAUGAACAGGAAAACAGUUUCACCUCUGUUUCCAUAGGACUGUGUUCCUGUAAUCUUGAUGUUCUUCAUCUAAGUAGGACCCAAGAACCUGAAUGGCCAUGCUCAGGAAUGUCUAGAGCCUCUCUGCAGGGGAAGGUGCCCAGAGUACUUUGUAUGUAGUUGUGAUAACUGGUAGGGAAGUUAGCUCAUGUGUACUUACCUAUGUUACCUUCUCCCCAGCUAGAACAUGGGUUUCUGGAUUGAAAGAGACAGUGUCUAUGAAUAGUUUUAUAUUUCUGGAGCCCAGGCCAUCAUGGACUCAAUAAGUAUUCAAGGAUGUAGGGAAGAAAAGGAAAGAAUUAACACACACACUUCUUCUAUUCAAGCAUUUAUGUAUCUAGAAACAUAAGUAAGGCUUAUUUAUUGAAAUGCAAACCACACAUAUGUUCUUUUGGAUUAACUGUUAGGUGAUUUGAUAAUAUGUCUUCAGUUUUCAACUUGGACUAAUGGCAUGCCAGUACCCACUCUUUUAUAGCAUUUUCUAUAAAGAGGAAAACUCACCGAAAACCUUCAAGCACAUACUAAGGGUAUGGACAAACAUGAAACUGAUAUCAAAGGUAACUUAGAAAUCAUCUAACCCAAAUACCUCAUUUUUCAGAAAAGAAAAUGGGAAUCUUGGUCGUGUUCACACGUGACAAAGACAAAAGCAGAGUUGGCCAGGUUCCCCUGGUGAGGGUGGGGCCACAUCUCCCAACAAGAUCACUGCUUUAGCAACUAGAUCGAUAGGUUCUAACUGCAGCCUAGUGUUCAUAGCCAUCUCCUUCUUUCAGAGCCUUGUCUCUGGCACCCACAAAUUUAUCAGCACUAGCAAUGCACAGGCCUAUACAUACAUUUUUCACAGAUGAGGACUCAGAUUUGUUUGCAAGAGGAUUGAAGAAGCAAAAUAACUUUUUGGGUCUGGUGAAAAGCAGAAAUUCCUGAAAGCACAAGACUAGAGAAACGUAGAAAAAGAUGCAAAUUUUCCCUGUUCACUGCUAUGGCUUUCUGCUCACAUUACAUUGGCCAGUGUUGUCACUUUCUUGUAUUAGUUGCAUAAAUGCUUGUGUCAACUGCAGAAAAAGCUGUUUCUCUGUCUACUUAAAAUGCAGUGUUGAAAGAACAGAAACAUUCUGCUAAGCAAACAUUGUCAACUGUCUAGUGCCUUAGCCAUUUCUGAUGCUAAAUAUUUCCUAAAUCUGAGAAAUUCAGAAGCUCUUGAGGUACACUCUCUUCUAAGCACAAAUCUUGAGUAAGUAAGCAACAAUGACUCUGUACCCCACAUUCCUCAUGGUACAGAAAGAUGUUUGCUGUAUUGAAGAGGUUCCUUGUGAUAACCUCUAAGUGACUUCCCAGCACAGCUUAUAGGAAAGAGUUCUCUAGGAAUAAGCCCAAAGCCAUUAGUUGCCUGCAGUUCUCCUGAGAAUUUGGAGUGUAAACAAUCUCACUGAUCUCCCCCUAAUCAGGCCAGGCAAAUUAAAGGACAGUGAGAGGUGAAGAAAGGGGAAGAAAAGGUGGUAAAUGGUGUCAAUUCUUCCCUUUCCUGUCUGUGUAACAAUGGACAGUAAGUAGUCUCAGAGCCAUUUAAUGAACUCCUGUCAGCAUCUAUCAAGAACAGCGUGGUGCAUUUUGAUAUUUUGAUGCUCUUGCAUUUCUGCUCCUGAAUGCCUCAGUCUUGUUAGGAGGAAAAAAAAAAAAAAAACCCAAGGAAUGAAAAAACAUCUUUGUUUGUUUGUUUGGUUGGUUUUGGUUUUUCCAAGACAGGGUUUCUCUGUGGCUUUGGAGGCUGUCCUGGAACUAGCUCUUGUAGACCAGGCUUGUCUCGAACUCACAGAGAUCCGCCUGCCUUUGCCUCCCAAGUACUGGGAUUAAAGGUGUGUGCCACCACCUCCCGGCUGAAAAAACAUCUUAUUGUUGUUCUUUUUAUAAAGAAUAUGGGAGGGAGGUAGAUAUAUAAAAAUCAUUCUUUUUGCUCCCUGUCACUAACACCCUAGACUAAUGUGUCCAGGUGACAGUAGAGCAGGACCAUGGUGGUAUUUAUUUGCGACUAAAUUAUGUGUCCCCCAUAAUUCAUAUGGUGAAAAUUCACCCUAACGUCUUAAGAGGGGGUGGAGCCUCUAGAAGAUGAUUAGGUUUAGAUGAGGUCACGUGAUGGGAUUAGUGCCCUAUAAGGAAAAACAAGAGACAGCCCCUCCCUGUACCAUGUGAGAUUGUUGCAGGAUGCCUGUCUGCCAACUAAGAGCAGAACUCUCCCCAGGAACAGAAUCUUCCAGCAUCUUGUUCUUCAACUUUUCAGCCUCCAGAACACUGCAGAAUAAAUGUCUACUGAAGCCACCCAAGCUAUAGCAGCCCAUCCCAACAGCACAGCUGAGAGAGCGCUGCAGACCAGCCACCCAGGUUUUCCUGGGCACAUGCCACUCUCUAAAUGCUUCUCUGGGGUUGUAGUUAAAGCAUCAAUAAAUCAGAUGAAGUUUGAUUUACAUGUGAUUUUUAUUCUCUUGGGGGACAUCUGCCACAGACCAUAAGUAAGCAAGCAAAUGAUCAAGCGAACACUAGCAAAGGAUGCUCUCUGAAGAGGGAACAUUUGAGACGAGCAGCAAGGAGAAGCAAGAAGACAGUCUACUGGAAAAACAACUCAAGCACUAGGAACAGUUUGGCCAACAACCAGUAGAAGGAGAAAGAUAGGCGGAGCUAGGAGAAGGCUGGGAGAGAGGCACUGUAAAAGAGAUGCAUGUAGCCAGCGAAGGAGUAACAGAUCCCGGCAUUCUCCGACAGGCAGAGCUGCAGACAUCUCCACACAAACCCCACCACCAGCCCUGUUUGGAAGCCUUUGAUGUUAUGAAAUCUGGAGCCUUUGCCACCAAUUAUUUCUGUAGGUGAGGGACAGAGUGGAAGGGACUCCAUCAUGGAAGCAUGCCCAGAAUUCUUCCAAAGGGGAACGAGGCAGCAGGAGAUUCUCACUGGAACCUGGGAUGUGAAUUGGUACUUCUGGCCUGGAACUUGGGCUACUGGACUGGCUGCUGGCAGAAACCAUCUCCCCCUGCUUAUGACAUUAUCACAGACAAGCUUAACUUCAUGGACUCUACAUUAGCAGCAGUGGCAUCUUAUGAUGGGGGAUGUGCUUCCGUAUAUGUUUCUCUUAUUGGUUGAUGAGUAAAACACUGAUUGGCUGAUUGGCCAGGCAGGAAGUAUAGGCAGGGCUAGGAGAUGAGAAUUCUGGGAAAUGUAGGCAGACAGAGUUGUUAUUUAGCGCCCAGGAAGAGAGGAAGCAUCAGGUGUUCUCUGACCAGCUCUUACUUUGUAACCCAGGCUGGCCUAGAAUUUAUGGCACUCUUUCUGCCUCAACUCCCAAGUGCUGGUAUUACAAAUUUGAACUACCACGACUGGCUCCUCCUUACUGCUUUUCAAGACAAAAUUACAGAAGAGAAAGGCAAGUUACCAAGUCACCACGGUUCUCAUUAAGGCCAGCCCCUCUUAUCACAUGCAAAGAUGGAAAACUAAACUUGUUGGGGGACCAUGGGAACCAAGCAUGACGAAAUCAGAGGGCUAUGGUGAGCCAGCCCUGCCCUUCACUGACCCUAGGCCUGCCCUUUGUUGGCUGCUGCAGCAAGAGAGUUGCUCCCCCUCCCCUGCAGGCAGAAGAAAGGGCCUCACCUCUUACCAUGCAUCAGGAAGAGCUGACCAUGAUGGCAUGGGUAUAGGGGAACUAACUCCAUCCCUCACCUGAGGGGGGCAGCCCCCAUGACCUGGACUGACCAGCUCAGCUAUCACCUGUAACACGACAAAUAAAAGACCCAGAGACUGAUAUUGUGGCUCAAGCUUCAAGCUGAAGAUCAGAAAAACAAAGCAACUGGGUAUUAGCUCUUAGCUCUACCUCAGGCUAAAAGGGGAUUCUGGCUCCACCAAACUUUAGACUGAAAUCCCAGACUGUUAUGCUCUCCUCAGCAUGGCUGAAGAAUCCUAAGACUUCCUAUUCUCAGUGUGGCUGGAGAAUGAAGGCCAGCUCUGAGACCCUGUUCCUGUCUUAUAUAC
ensembl:lncRNA